AAAUUUUUUUAGACAGAAUUAGAUGUAUCUUUCAUUUUCUCUCAGAAUCAGAUCAAAUAAUGAAAACUAAUAAGAAUAAUCAGAAACAUAAAAAAUCAAGAAAGGUCACUUUAAAAAAAGAUAAGCAUAAGAAUACGCGAUGUGAAAAGCUUAUAGGAAUUCCUCCUUGGAUUAUUAAUCAAAAAUUAAAAACAAAUCCAAAUGCAAAUAUCUCCUUAUCUGGGAAAAAACAAAGAAAAAUUUUAAAAAUACAGAGAAGAAAACUUAAAGCAGGAAAUAAUAUGGAGAUUGUCUGAAAAAAAUGGUUGAGAAUUCACAACUGGUUAUUUGUCUUACUCAUUCGAUAUUUCCUUUUUAUAGAUGUUUAUUAUUAUAUAUAUAUUGUAUUUGAUUGAUGAACAUAAUAAUUAAUAACUACCAUGUCAUUCUUGUAUUUACACCCUUGCUUGCUCCGGGAUAUAAAUCGGCGCCGGCUAGUUCUUUUUUUCAUGGCGUAUUUUUUAAAAUAAACGUAAUGAAUUUAUUAUUUAAAUGUAUUUUAAUAAUUAUAGGUCACUCUCAGUUUCACCAUUAUUUGAGAUCCGGAAUUUUAUCCGUGUUCAACCCUAAAUAAAUUAUAUAUUUUUUUUCAUACAAAAAAAAAGAUUUACGAUAAAAAUUGUACUCAGUCACAUCAAUAAUACUUUAUCGAUUUAUUGGUAAAUAUCAAGUCUAAUUUAUAUAUUUUAGCGUCAAUGUUUUUCAAAUUUAAAUCAUUUUGUUCGUAUG